rnacentral:tRNA from 1 species
CCUGGUGGCUAAGUAGGUAAAGAAUCUGCCUGCAAUGAAGGAGACCCAGGUUCAAACCCUGGGUCAGGA